GCAGUCGAGCGAAUGGAUUAGAGAGCUUGCUCUUAUGAAGUUAGCGGCGGACGGGUGAGUAACACGUGGGUAACCUGCCCAUAAGACUGGGAUAACUCCGGGAAACCGGGGCUAAUACCGGAUAAUAUUUUGAACUGCAUGGUUCGAAAUUGAAAGGCGGCUUCGGCUGUCACUUAUGGAUGGACCCGCGUCGCAUUAGCUAGUUGGUGAGGUAACGGCUCACCAAGGCAACGAUGCGUAGCCGACCUGAGAGGGUGAUCGGCCACACUGGGACUGAGACACGGCCCAGACUCCUACGGGAGGCAGCAGUAGGGAAUCUUCCGCAAUGGACGAAAGUCUGACGGAGCAACGCCGCGUGAGUGAUGAAGGCUUUCGGGUCGUAAAACUCUGUUGUUAGGGAAGAACAAGUGCUAGUUGAAUAAGCUGGCACCUUGACGGUACCUAACCAGAAAGCCACGGCUAACUACGUGCCAGCAGCCGCGGUAAUACGUAGGUGGCAAGCGUUAUCCGGAAUUAUUGGGCGUAAAGCGCGCGCAGGUGGUUUCUUAAGUCUGAUGUGAAAGCCCACGGCUCAACCGUGGAGGGUCAUUGGAAACUGGGAGACUUGAGUGCAGAAGAGGAAAGUGGAAUUCCAUGUGUAGCGGUGAAAUGCGUAGAGAUAUGGAGGAACACCAGUGGCGAAGGCGACUUUCUGGUCUGUAACUGACACUGAGGCGCGAAAGCGUGGGA
rnacentral:rRNA from 1 species